AGCUAGUUAAUUAAGUCUUAAAAUAUUAGUUUUUUAAAUAAAUUAUAUUAUAAGUUUUAUAAUUUUAUUAUAAAAAAGUUAUUUUAGCUUAAUUUUAAUAAUAAGAAGUUAUAAAAGUUUAAAAUAUAAAUUAAAGUAUUUUAAAGCUUAUUAUUAUUUAUUUUAUUUUUAUUAUAUAUAAUAUUAUUUGUUAAUUAAUUGUAAGCUAUAAAUAAAACCUUUAUUAUAAGCUU
rnacentral:tRNA from 1 species